rnacentral:rRNA from 1 species
GACACUGCAAUCGCUUCGACGACAUUCCGCAAGGUUGUCUAGGAGUGUUGUUGUUGUGCUCGUUGGAUGCAUUUGCGUGCGGAGUGCGCCGAGUGGGUCGAUGUCGCUGCCGGAAGGGCGUAUAGAGGACUCGGGUUUUCGGACUCGAGAAUCCUGUGCGUUCGGAUAGCAGGUGAUGUUGGCUCGCUGUUGUGGAGUGCGGGUGAAUUCGCGAUGGGGGUCGGUUGUGAGUUGUGGUUGCGGAU